UACGGGGGGAGCAAGCGUUGUUCGGAUUUACUGGGCGUAAAGGGCGCGUAGGCGGCCAACUAAGUCAGAUGUGAAAUCCCCGGGCUUAACCUGGGAACUGCAUUUGUGACUGCAUGGCUGGAGUGCGGCAGAGGGGGAUGGAAUUCCGCGUGUAGCAGUGAAAUGCGUAGAUAUGCGGAGGAACACCGAUGGCGAAGGCAAUCCCCUGGGCCUGCACUGACGCUCAUGCACGAAAGCGUGGGGAGCAAACAGG
rnacentral:rRNA from 1 species